CUGCAUCCUUGCGGGCUGCUCCCGCCUCUGGGCAGCUGCCGCCCUUCGGGCAGGGGGAUGGCUCAGGCAGCCCCGUGAACAAGUGAUCUCAUGCAAGGCCCUGAGCUACAGUGAAGGUGUGACUACCACCAUCCUCAGCAGUUAUGAGGCUAAAAAGACACAAGACAAUCAUGAACGUAUGCCUAAAGAGAAUAAAGAAACAGAUCCAAAAUGCUUCUAAAGGAUGCAAUCUCUUUGUUGGUUUAAGCAGACCUUGGUGAGGCUUUCUACUAGAAAACUUCAGAAUUUGAAUACACCAGCGAAGUACUAAUCCCAGUUGUAGAUUGUCAUUGGAUUCCUUUUCUCUUCCUAGCUGAAUUACUUUAGGACUUUGAAUGCUGUAAGUGUACAUGUUUUCUUCCAAGAUCUUUAAGUGAAAGAAACCAACCCCAUAUCCACAGUAAUACCCUUUGGGACAAAUCAGGAAAAAAGACUUGUUAGCUUUUCAACACUGUGGUCACAAUAAUCAAUAGGACAUGGCAUUGAGACACCCCAUGGGAAAAUCUUUGCUCUUCUAGAUGAUUCCUCAGGACCAAAAGGAGUAAAUUCUCUCUCAAGCUGUUGGUCAGAAAAGCCAAGUGAACUUCCAAGAAGCAUCCUGGAAUGAGCAGUGUUACCAUGAAGGUGUAACAGCCACACCAUGGUGGGAUAUUUGCUCAUAAGGGAUGAAGAACAUGAGAAAAGUCUGUAAAAGCCUGGAAAGGCACACUCAGUUGAGUGACAAGCAUACCAGGAGAAUAAAUCACAAACUGUUCUUCAGGAAAGCAAAAAUUACUGUAAUCUCUCCUUGUCCAUUCUGACCUAGGGUCCUCAAGGUGCUGUAUGCUAAGCAGUUAAUAAAUAUUGUCUUUUCUGAACAGGCUGCCCUAUGUCACUGUAAAAUGUCUCCUGCUGCAUCUGAAUCAUGAAAAGGCAAACUCUCAGGGGAGAUCCACCCUGAUGUGUGUGAAUUUAACUUUGGUAGAAGACUUUUCCUGUCCUUUUCCAUCCAUGAGCAAUGUGCCUGAUGGAGGAGGUGGUUCAUUCUGCAAAGAGCACUCUCUUUGGAGAAAUGCCACAGAAUCACUUGUGCUGAUGUGGAACACAAGAGCUCCAGGUGCAGAAUUACAGACAAUCUUGCAGAAAGGUAGUCUUGGCUUGGUCUGCAUCCUCAUCAUGGCCAGUUAGGUGGGACGAAUGAGUGGCCUCACAACCUUUUCCCAGAUGAAGUCCAGUGGAAUAUGGCUUUAACAUCCAAAGCAGGAGGAUAAGAGGACAAGAGCCUGUCUCCCGCUGCAUUGCUCGUGUUUGAGGAGAACAGAGGACACAAGAAGUUUCUACCUGAAAAUAUGCAGGGUUUCACUGGAUGGCUUUGAUCUGGAAUAACUGGGACAGAGCAAAGUUUUUAACAGUUCUUUUCUUCCCUGG